CCUACGGGCGGCAGCAGUGAGGAAUAUUGGUCAAUGGACGAGAGUCUGAACCAGCCAAGUAGCGUGAAGGAUGACUGCCCUAUGGGUUGUAAACUUCUUUUAUAAGGGAAUAAAACGAGGCACGUGUGCCUUUUUGCAUGUACUUUAUGAAUAAGGAUCGGCUAACUCCGUGCCAGCAGCCGCGGUAAUACGGAGGAUCCGAGCGUUAUCCGGAUUUAUUGGGUUUAAAGGGAGCGCAGAUGGGUUGUUAAGUCAGUUGUGAAAGUUUGCGGCUCAACCGUAAAAUUGCAAUUGAUACUGGCAGUCUUGAGUACAGUUGAGGUAGGCGGAAUUCGUGGUGUAGCCGUGAAAUGCUUAGAUAUCACGAAGAACCCCGAUUGCGAAGGCAGCUUACUAAACUGUGACUGACAUUGAUGCUCGAAAGUGUGGGUAUCAAACAGGAUUAGAUACCCCGGUAGUC
rnacentral:rRNA from 1 species